rnacentral:rRNA from 1 species
UCGACCUGAGCUCAGGCAAGACUACCCGCUGAACUUAAGCAUAUCAAUAAGCGGAGGAAAAGAAACUAACUAGGAUGCCCUUAGUAACGGCGAGCGAACCGGGCAAAGCCCAACUUGAAAAUCUCCAGCCUCCGGCUGGCGAAUUGUAGUCUAGAGAAGUGCUCUCUGCCUUAGCCUGUUCCCAAGUCCCCUGGAAAGGGGCGUCAGAGAGGGUGAGAACCCCGUUGGGAUCGGAUCCUAAGGCUCCACGAGACGCUUUCGAAGAGUCGGGUUGUUUGGGAAUGCAGCCCAAAGCAGGUGGUAAAUCCCAUCUAAGGCUAAAUACAGACGGGAGACCGAUAGCGAACAAGUACCGUGAGGGAAAGAUGAAA